rnacentral:ncRNA from 1 species
AUAUAUAGCGGGCAAACUUGUCGAAAGGCGGGGACGCAAAGCUCAGGGUCUAAAACAUUUUUGUUAUGACAGCCGAGUUGCAAAG